AUAAAUAUAAAUAUUAGAUAUAUUAUUCUUUAUCAUAUAUCAUGUUAUUCUGUAUCACACAUUAAUAAUCACUCUUACAAAUAUAUUCUCUCUAUUUUAUUUAUGCAUAUAUUCAAUCGUUAUCUAUAACCACAUAUUUACCUCUUACACAUCUAUUAAAUGACAAUCUCAUAAUCUAAAAAAUCUAAAAACUGCAGGUUAAUCUACAGGGUGUAUUAAAAAAUUUAUCCAAAAAUAAUUGCUUAAUUAAUGUGGAAAAGUUACAAACUUGAACAUUGUCAAAAUUGACUUCAUCUUAAAGGGUAGGUCAUUACAUUUAGCUCUCCAUUGAUAUCUUAUUUGCAUCUUUUCCGCCAUUGAUGAGUGAGCAGCAUUGAGUUCAAAACAAAGGCCAAACAACUCGGUGCUCAGUCAUCUGUGGAUGAAGAGGUGCAAUUAAGACAUCAAUUGAAAGCUUAAUAAAUUACCCUUUAAGAUGGAGCCCCCUUUGAGUUUGUAAAGUUUCCUAACUUUUACACAUGAGUCAAUUGUUUUUGGAUUACCUGUUUUUGUACACCCUGUACAUCUGAAUAAAUCCCUGUCAUCUGAUUGAUGGGUUAUUGAUCGCAUGUCAUUAAAGUAUUCAUCCCAACUCGCGGCCGCUCUGCAGAAAAAUACAAGUUCUAUUACAUUGUAGUAGGAAGUUCCAUUGCAUUGUAGGAGGAACUUGCAUUGCGCAGUCACCUAUUUGCACAGUCACUCAGAUGACAGGGAUUCACUCGGAAGUUAUACACAAAAAUAAUGAAUACUUCACAUGUUAUGUAAUGGAAAGAAUAAGGUCAUUCGGUGACAUAUGAAAUGUUCCACUCGCUUGGCAUUGUGGAAUGGUACAUUCCAUCUGUCACCUCAGGAAAUUAUUCUUACCACUGUAUGAACAUUUGUAAACUACUUCAUACAUGUAUACAACAUUUUAGUUAACUCAGCUUUGGAAAGUACUUACAUAAUUGGUAUGUACAUGUAGUAGGUGGUGCAUUAAUUAUACUUAUAGAGAUCUUAAGUAUUGCAUUAACAAUUGAUGACAAAUAAUACAUACAGUAGAAUACUUAUGCGUUAUUAAAGGUAUGUACAUGUAGUAGGUGGUGCACUAAUUAUACUCAUAAAGGUCUUAAAUAUUGCAUUUUGAUGACAAAUAAUAAUAUACAGUAGAACACUCAUAUACAUUAUGUGUUAAGGUGGAGUUAGUGAACAAUGGUUGUGUAACGCUAGGAACAAUAUGGGUAUAUAUUUUGUGCAUGUGUUGUCGCCAAAAUACAAAGCAUAAGAUCUAUUUACAUAGAUUUACAUUAAAUUUUGGUUUCUUCAAUGUAAGUUAAAAAUAUCUUUAGUACAGCAUGCACACAUUUUGUUAUCGCUAGGAAGUGUAUGGUAAACCUUUUGCACCUGCAAUGUUACUAAUGUAAAAUAUUGCCUCUAAAGAUAAUGCAUAAGAUCUAUUUACAUACAUUUUGGUGUCUACUUGAACUAAAACAGUAUUUCAGUACAUGUACAGCAUCCAAAUGUGAAAUGUUUUAUUAAAUAUUACUUGUAAACCCUGUAUAACACAAACAUGUGAACAUACGUUUGUUAAUGGUGUAAAUCGAGGACGUUCGUGUGAAGCAUCAUCAAGUAAUUGAGGACAGGAGUCAAAUCGAGGACGACCUCGAUUAGAAAACAAAACUAAUGGGAGCUGCUACAAAACGGUUACCACGUUUAAACCAAAGAUCGAUGAUGAACAACAGUAAAUGCUUGAUUUACACCAUAAAGAAACGUACAUGUACAUGUGCAUAACGUGUGUCCUAACUUAUGGAACAUGCGAGUAGAAAUGAAAGCAAUGAAAUAAACACCUAUUGCAAA